rnacentral:rRNA from 1 species
CCUACGGGAGGCAGCAGUGGGGGAUAUUGCACAAUGGGGGAAACCCUGAUGCCGCGACGCCGCGUGUGGGAAGACGGUCCUCUGGAUUGUAAACCACUGUCCCCAGGGACUAAGAUGACGGUACCUGGGGAGGAAGCUCCGGCUAACUACGUUCCAGCAGCCGCCGUAAUACGUAGGGAGCGAGCGUUGGCCGGAAUUACUGGGUGUAAAGGGAGCGUAGGCGGGGAUGCAAGUUGGGUGUCAAAACUACCGGCUCAACUGGUAGUCGCACUCAAAACUGCAGCUCUUGAGUGAAGUAGAGGCAGGCGGAAUUCCUAGUGUAGCGGUGAAAUGCGUAGAUAUUAGGAGGAACACCAGUGGCGAAGGCGGCCUGCUGGGCUUUUACUGACGCUGAGGCUCGAAAGUGUGGGGAGCGAACAGGAUUAGAUACCCUAGUAGUC